rnacentral:rRNA from 1 species
UUGGAGGGCAAGUCUGGUGCCAGCAGCCGCGGUAAUUCCAGCUCCAAUAGCGUAUAUUAAAGUUGUUGCAGUUAAAAAGCUCGUAGUUGAAUUUCGGGGUCAGUAGGUUGGUCAUGCCACUGGUAUGUACUGGUCUCACUGAUUCCUCCUUCCUGAUGAACUGUAAUGCCAUUAAUUUGGUGUUGCAGGGAAUCUGGACUGUUACUUUGAAAAAAUUAGAGUGUUUAAAGCAGGCUAACGCCUGAAUACAUUAGCAUGGAAUAAUGAAAUAGGACGUUCGAUCCUAUUUUGUUGGUUUCUAGGAUUGACGUAAUGAUUAAUAGGGAUAGUUGGGGGCAUUAGUAUUCAAUUGUCAGAGGUGAAAUUCUUGGAUUUAUUGAAGACUAACUACUGCGAAAGCAUUUGCCAAGGAUGUUUUCAUUAAUCAAGAACGAAAGUUAGGGGAUCGAAGACGAUCAGAUACCGUCGUAGUCUUAACCAUAAACUAUGCCGACUAGGGAUCGGAUGAUGUUAAUUAUUUUAAUGACUCUCUCGCGCCAUAGGAAAAAC